UCAUCUCCUUUGACAAGAGCAUUUUAUUUUCAGCUUUCUGCAUUUUGUAAUUGGGAUAUUAUUGGGAGACGAAUUGCAAAAGGGCGCCUGCAAGAAGCUGGUGACGCCUUGCUAAUUUGAUGGCCUGCCAAUUGCAGCUCAGAGGGCCGUGUCCAUCCGUCACUCUGGAGCGCCCCGGUGGUAUGCAGCAUCAUGUGAAACUUAUACCUCGCCCACAUAGAAGACAAAUCACCUUCUCAAGGAAAUCAGC